rnacentral:rRNA from 1 species
AUUGAACGCUGGCGGCAGGCCUAACACAUGCAAGUCGAGCGGAUGAAGGGAGCUUGCUCCUGGAUUCAGCGGCGGACGGGUGAGUAAUGCCUAGGAAUCUGCCUGGUAGUGGGGGAUAACGUCCGGAAACGGGCGCUAAUACCGCAUACGUCCUGCGGGAGAAAGUGGGGGAUCUUCGGACCUCACGCUAUCAGAUGAGCCUAGGUCGGAUUAGCUAGUUGGUGGGGUAAAGGCCUACCAAGGCGACGAUCCGUAACUGGUCUGAGUGGAUGAUCAGUCACACUGGAACUGAGACACGGUCCAGACUCCUACGGGAGGCAGCAGUGGGGAAUAUUGGACAAAGGGCGAAAGCCUGAUCCAGCCAUGCCGCGUGUGUGAAGAAGGUCUUCGGAUUGUAAAGCACUUUAAGUUGGGAGGAAGGGCAGUAAGUUAAUACCUUGCUGUUUUGACGUUACCAACAGAAUAAGCACCGGCUAACUUCGUG